UACGUAGGUGGCAAGCGUUGUCCGGAAUUAUUGGGCGUAAAGCGCGCGCAGGCGGUUUCUUAAGUCUGAUGUGAAAGCCCACGGCUCAACCGUGGAGGGUCAUUGGAAACUGGGGAACUUGAGUGCAGAAGAGGAGAGUGGAAUUCCACGUGUAGCGGUGAAAUGCGUAGAGAUGUGGAGGAACACCAGUGGCGAAGGCGACUCUCUGGUCUGUAACUGACGCUGAGGCGCGAAAGCGUGGGGAGCGAACAGG
rnacentral:rRNA from 1 species